rnacentral:lncRNA from 1 species
UGAGGAUUGCUUUAUCUUUCUGGCACAACAUUGUUUCCAACCUCUCUCUGAUGACGGUGUAACACAACACUUCUCCAUCGAUGAUGUCUUAACACAUCCUGAUUGUAAAUAACGCUUAAACUAAAACCAUAGUUGUUGACUGCAACCCUAAAACUAACAACAUCUUAGUGCUAUGUGUUUGUUGUUGUUGAUGAUGGUGGGGAUGAUAUUGAAUGUUGGGUUACUUUCUAUUUCUUGCGUUUACUUGCUUUUUUCUCCUUCAAUUUUUCUUGUUUACUUUUGGAGGUAAGAGAUAACACAACUUGUAGUGUCAAUUGGUCCAUGUAAUUGACUUUACUUGGUUGAAAAAUAGUUAGUUGUUAUUGUAUUACUAAGUAUCUAACUUCAACGAAAUACUUCUGCUGCUGCACUAAUUGUCUUUAGAUAGGAUUGAACUGUUUUUUUUUUUUUUUAAUAAAUGAUAGAAGUGAUUUACUAUAUUGUAUUUUGAGUAAACGAAAAAAUUCGUCCCUCACUUUGUAGGACACUAUCAAAUAGGUCUUUGGUUAUAUGUGAUAUGUGAAAUGAGAGUUGGUUCCUUGAUUUUUGGUUGAUGGUUAUAAGAUCAUUAUAGUUGUUCAAGGUUGAAAUUUGAUUGUGUUUAUGUUUACCCAUUUGACAAAUUUGACCUUUAUUGUGUGAAAUUGUGUGUGCUUGAUGAAUAUGUGAUAUGUUUGUAACUCAUGUACUCUUGUAAUAGCUCUCAAUUUUAAUCUCUCCUACUUUGUGUUUCAUCUAUUAUUGAGUUUUUCCUUUGGAUCUAACUUAGAUAUAUUUUUAUGUGCUUCGUAUGAACUGAAUGGAGCUUUUGGUUUUAAGAUUUGUAUUAUAAACAUCUUGGGUUUAUUUCACUUGAAUCAAUUGCAUAAUCUUCUAUUAUCAAAUUCAACGACAGUGUUUUGUUUCUUAAAAUAAGUAAUUACUUAUUUAGAUAGAAAAAAUACACAAAAAAGCAUUUAAAUUCAAUUCAAAUCUUAUGUUAGCAUCUAGCUUUCAAACAAAAAUGUUUUUGUUAGCAUCUUAUCUCUUUGAUUUGCUGAAUUGCAUAGGUGAAAGGAUAUUGUUGUGUUGUUUGCUACUAUUUGAUUCUUUAAUUCUCUAGAUUAAGAAAAUGUGGCACACAUUUACUAAAAGAUAAUUGUCUUACCUAACACCCUUUGUGCCUAGAAAUCUUAAUUAGUGUUAGUUUAGUUGACAGGAGAAGUUUAGUUUAGAGUUAGCAUUGUUGUUGAUGAAAUGGUUUCUUUGACUUUCUUAAUGAAUACCACAAAAGGGAAAAUUGAUAAACCUAAAUGGGGUUACUUUGACUAAUUUGAGGUUUUGGUCAAAUAUGCAGUCGCAGGAACUACAAGUUACUGAAUUUCGAAUCAUUUGCAUUCUGGAUUUUAAUUAAUAUACUAUAUGAGUUAGUUUGGUGGCUGAGAAUUUGAACUUCGAUGGAUGUGGAUUUUCCAUGGUGAGAAAGAUUAUAAAUUGUUGUUGUCAUAGUGGAAUUGGAUGUGCUUACCUCACAAUCUUUUAUAUAUGAGAUAUAAAAUUGCAUAUAUAUAUAUAUAUAUAUAUAUGGCUGAUGUAGAUGUAUUUAUAGUUCUAGAGGCCCUUAAAGCCUUAAGGAUGCAGUUGUGAAUAAGAUUUCUGAAUGCAAUUUAAGAUCAAUUCUUUUGAGGAAAUUAUUGGAUAAAAUUAACAAACUUAUGUAUAUCAUACUAGGA